rnacentral:lncRNA from 1 species
CACUGAUUAAAAAAUUGUAAGUCACAAUCAAACAAAUAAUCACCACUAUGUCCGUCCUUGCAAUCACCACACCACGGCAACCACAACCAUCACACACCACAACAAUGCAAAAACCACACCACCACAAAGCACAAGCAUGACUACCACCACCACCAACGUCAACUAACCAACCAACCACACCGCAACCACAAAUCACACAAUCAACUACACCACACCGUACCGCAACCACAACAACCUCAAAACCACCACCACAGCACCACACCAUUAUAACCCAUCGAUGUCUCUCAGAUCGUGUUGCUCAGAGAUCUCAGACCAACGUCACUCCCAGAUUGACGAGCAACGUAUAGCGCUGGGCAUGGUGGCGACACAGCGGCAUCGCGAUGUGGGAGAUGAAAAGAAAAUGGAGGAGGCACUGGUACAGAGAGCGAAAAAAUAGAUUCACUUGUUGGCUCUCAGAUCGUGCUGCUAUGAGAUCUCAGAUUGACGGAUGAUGCAUUCCCAUGGGUGUGGUGGUAGUGACAGUGAUAGUGGGCAAUGGGGCAAUUUUAGGAGGGAGAGGGUAGAGAGAGAUGUGAGAAGAAGAGAAAAUGGAUGGGGCACCAAAGAAAGAAAGAAUAGAUUAGGAAAUAAUUAGGAUUUGGGAUGGUAGAUGAUAGUGG